UACGGAAGGGGCAAGCGUUGUUCGGAAUUACUGGGCGUAAAGGGCGCGUAGGCGGUUCUUUAAGUCAGGCGUGAAAGCCCUGGGCUCAACCUGGGAGUGGCGCUUGAUACUGGGGGACUAGAGAGUGGGAGAGGUUGGUGGAAUUCCCAGUGUAGAGGUGAAAUUCGUAGAUAUUGGGAAGAACACCGGUGGCGAAGGCGGCCAACUGGACCAUUUCUGACGCUGAGGCGCGAAAGCGUGGGGAGCAAACAGG
rnacentral:rRNA from 1 species